AUUGAACGCUGGCGGCAUGCCUUACACAUGCAAGUCGAACGGCAGCGCGGGGGCAACCUGGCGGCGAGUGGCGAACGGGUGAGUAAUAUAUCGGAACGUACCCUGGGAGUGGGGGGAUAACGUAGCGAAAGUUACGCUAAUACCGCAUACGAUCUAUGGAUGAAAGCAGGGGACCGCAAGGCCUUGUGCUCCAGGAGCGGCCGAUAUCUGAUUAGCUAGUUGGCGGGGAAAANCCCACCAAGGCAUCGAUCAGUAGCUGGUCUGAGAGGACGACCAGCCACACUGGAACUGAGACACGGUCCAGACUCCUACGGGAGGCAGCAGUGGGGAAUUUGGACAAUGGGCGC
rnacentral:rRNA from 1 species